UACGUAGGGUGCGAGCGUUGUCCGGAAUUACUGGGCGUAAAGAGCUCGUAGGUGGUUUGUCGCGUUGUUCGUGAAAACUCACAGCUCAACUGUGGGCGUGCGGGCGAUACGGGCAGACUAGAGUACUGCAGGGGAGACUGGAAUUCCUGGUGUAGCAGUGGAAUGCGCAGAUAUCAGGAGGAACACCGGUGGCGAAGGCGGGUCUCUGGGCAGUAACUGACGCUGAGGAGCGAAAGCGUGGGGAGCGAACAGG
rnacentral:rRNA from 1 species